AUCAUACUCCCUCCGUCCCAAAAUUCUUGUCUUAAAUUUGUCUAAAUACGGAUGUAUCAAAUCACUUUUUAGUAUUAGAUACAUCCUUAUCAAGACAAAUCUAAGACAAGAAUUUUGGGACGGAGGGAGUACAUA
rfam:Triticum aestivum genome assembly, contig: Triticum_aestivum_CS42_TGACv1_scaffold_501151_6BL